rnacentral:rRNA from 1 species
GAUUGCCCUAGUAACGGCGAGUGAAGCGGCAACAGCUCAAAUUUGAAAUCUGGCUCUUUCAGAGUCCGAGUUGUAAUUUGCAGAGGGCGCUUUGGCGUUGGGAGCGGUCCAAGUUCUUUGGAACAGGACGUCACAGAGGGUGAGAAUCCCGUACGUGGUCGCUAUCCUUCGCCGUGUAAAGCCCCUUCGACGAGUCGAGUUGUUUGGGAAUGCAGCUCUAAAUGGGAGGUAAAUUUCUUCUAAAGCUAAAUACUGGCCAGAGACCGAUAGCGCACAAGUAGAGUGAUCGAAAGAUGAAAAGCACUUUGGAAAGAGAGUCAAAUAGCACGUGAAAUUGUUGAAAGGGAAGCGCUUGCAGCCAGACUUGCCUGUAGUUGCUUAUCUGGACUUUUGUCCAGUGCACUCUUCUGCGGGCAGGCCAGCAUCAGUUUGGGCGGUUGGAUAAAGGUCUCUGUCAUGUACCUCCUUUCGGGGAGGCCUUAUAGGGGAGACGACAUGCAACCAGCCUGGACUGAGGUCCGCGCAUCUGCUAGGAUGCUGGCGUAAUGGCUGUAAGCGGCCCGUCUUGAAACACGGACCAAGGAGUCUAACAUCUAUGCGAGUGUUUGGGUGUCAAGCCCAGACGCGUAAUGAAAGUGAACGGAGGUGGGAACCUUUUAGGUGCACCAUCGACCGAUCCUGAUGUCUUCGGAAGGAUUUGAGUAAGAGCAUAGCUGUUGGGACCCGAAAGAUGGUGAACUAUGCUUGAAUAGGGUGAAGCCAGAGGAAACUCUGGUGGAGGCUCGCAGCGGUUCUGACGUGCAAAUCGAUCGUCAAAUUUGGGCAUAGGGGCG